GGGCUCGCAGGCGGUUUCUUAAGUCUGAUGUGAAAGCCCCCGGCUCAACCGGGGGGGGUCAUUGGAAACUGGGAAACUUGAGUGCAGAAGAGGAGAGAGGAAUUCCACGUGUAGCGGUGAAAUGCGUAGAGAUGUGGAGGAACACCAGUGGCGAAGGCGACUCUCUGGUCUGUAACUGACGCUGAGGAGCGAAAGCGUGGGGAGCGAACAGGAUUAGAUACCCUGGUAGUCCACGCCGUAAACGAUGAGUGCUAAGUGUUAGGGGGUUUCCGCCCCUUAGUGCUGCAGCUAACGCAUUAAGCACUCCGCCUGGGGAGUACGGUCGCAAGACUGAAACUCAAAGGAAUUGACGGGGGCCCGCACAAGCGGUGGAGCAUGUGGUUUAAUUCGAAGCAACGCGAAGAACCUUACCAGGUCUUGACAUCCUCUGACAACCCUAGAGAUAGGGCUUUCCCUUCGGGGACAGAGUGACAGGUGGUGCAUGGUUGUCGUCAGCUCGUGUCGUGAGAUGUUGGGUUAAGUCCCGCAACGAGCGCAACCCUUGAUCUUAGUUGCCAGCAUUCAGUUGGGCACUCUAAGGUGACUGCCGGUGACAAACCGGAGGAAGGUGGGGAUGACGUCAAAUCAUCAUGCCCCUUAUGACCUGGGCUACACACGUGCUACAAUGGACAGAACAAAGGGCUGCGAGACCGCAAGGUUUAGCCAAUCCCACAAAUCUGUUCUCAGUUCGGAUCGCAGUCUGCAACUCGACUGCGUGAAGCUGGAAUCGCUAGUAAUCGCGGAUCAGCAUGCCGCGGUGAAUACAUUCCCGGGCCUUGUACACACCGCCCGUCACACCACGAGAGUUUGCACACCCCAACUCUGUGAGGUAACCUUUAUGGAGCCAGCCGCCGAAAUGGGGCAGAUGAUUGGGGUGA
rnacentral:rRNA from 2 species